UACGGAGGGGGCUAGCGUUGUUCGGAAUUACUGGGCGUAAAGCGCGCGUAGGCGGCUUUGUAAGUUAGAGGUGAAAGCCCGGAGCUCAACUCCGGAAUUGCCUUUAAGACUGCAUCGCUAGAACGUCGGAGAGGUGAGUGGAAUUCCGAGUGUAGAGGUGAAAUUCGUAGAUAUUCGGAAGAACACCAGUGGCGAAGGCGACUUACUGGACACAUAUUGACGCUGAGGUGCGAAAGCGUGGGGAGCAAACAGG
rnacentral:rRNA from 1 species